GAGAGGGCGGAGCGGGGGCUCGGAGGCUGCUGUUGAGCGUGGGCGUGGGCCGCUGGGGAUGGCGAGCUGCAAGCUCGCAUUCGUGCGUGAUGUUCUUUUCAGAGGCUUCCAUAUUCAGUCGGUAACCCCUGUGAAAGGGGUCAUUUAAUCUCCAAAGGGGUGACAGUCCACAGGUUGAGAAACAUUGUGGUAGUGUCUCACUAUCACAGCCAAGGACUGGGAUGAGAUGUGAUGGCACAGAUCUGUGACUUCGACACUGGGGAGCCUGAGGCAGGUGCAACUCCAUUCAAGAUGUCAUUACCCCUUCAUUUCAAAGCCACUGACACGGCUGAGUGACAAGAACAGCACCUGCCCUUUCAAGGCUCGCAAACAAUCUUUCUGAGAAGUCUUCCAUCUCUAGUUUGGCCAAAUCCCUUUCUUCGCCUCUCAUCCUCUCCUGCUUCACACUGGUGCCACGGGGUCUCAGGAGGAGAAAGUCACAGGAAGGCUGAGAGACAACACCGCAGGUCCAGGCCUUUCUCAUCCCUUGAGGGCUCUGGAGCAAGACAGUUGCUACCUCAGAAUCAUCAACACUUGGCCGGCCCAGUUCAGCCCCGGACCCCUCCACACGCACAUCUGUCACCAACACUGUGUCAGUGCAGAUGAUAACAACACAGCAGCCAUGCUCACGGAUGACUGCAGGAAGCAACUCCACCAAAUUGGAAACGAGAUCACAAGCAAAGCAGCAGUGUAAUCCAGACCACUUCCUGAUGAGUCAUUUGCUUAGAACAGGGAGAAACGUAAGAGCGGGUCAGCAAAGACAACCCUCAGACGCCGGUCAGCUGGGAUGGUGAGUGCCUUCAACUGCGGCAGCCAUGAGAAGCACCCGAAAAGCUGCCCUCCAGCAUCACGCAAGGCACGUCACAGCUGCAGUUCUGCUCCACCUGACCAAGUGCUGCUACCCCGGCAGGACCAAGUGUGACGCAGCUUGAAGAACCCUGCCUCGAAGCCACUGAAGGGGGCUCAGUGGACGGUAGCCCUGGCAACACAAGGAGACUGUGUCUUUUGCAGCAAACGACUGGGCAGACACAUUGAUCUGCUGGAAAGGGGUAUACACAGUGGGAAAUAGAAGGUUCUGGAUGGAUUAUCAUAGUGGGCUGCCGGGAUGCUUAGGGAAUCUGUGGGCUUAGAGCCUGAAGAGCCCUGUGGACCUGUUGUUACUUUUUUCAUGACAAAGAAUCAUUAAAGGUCACACGUGUUGCUCUGGAAGGAGACA